GUGGCAUCACACAGCUCACAGCAACCUCUAACUCUUGGGCUUACACGAUUCUCUUGCUUCAGCCUCCCGAGCAGCUGGGACUACAGGCGCCCGCCACAACGCCCAGCUAUUUUUUUGUUGCAGUUUGGCCAGGGCUGGGUUUGAACCCGCCACCCUCGGCAUAUGGGGCCGGCGCCCUACUCACUGAGCCACGGGCGCCGCCCGAUUGUAAACUUUUUAAAACCAUAGGUCAUCAGACAUUUCUGUGGGCCUCCCCUCAGGGUUGAGAAUUGGUGUAAGGAAGUACACCCCGGAAGAGUGUCACUUGCCUACAGUUUCUGUGGCUAACACAGCGAGGCCCAUAGCCCAGGGUGAGGUCCUUUAUAGACUUACCAGGGACAGAAAUAAACAGGGAUCCAAGGCCUGGCCCUGGGUUUGUCAUUUUCCUUUUAUUUCCCUCUGAAUCAAAAGUUGUCUCGGUACAUUUCCCUGCACUUAAGAGGCGUGUGACUGAGCACAUCAUCCCUCAGUGUCCUUGGAGAUCACAAAGGCUGUCAGCCAACCUCCUGCCAGGCAGUAGAUGUUAUUUUCAAGGUUGCCGCUGAGUGUGCAGGACAUGCUGACACCAUCCAGACGAAGACUCAGUAGGUGCCCAGACAGGUGAUGGAGUCAUGCUUUUGCUCGGAAUGACAAGGUAAAGGAAAAACAUCUGAGGUAUGUAGUAGACUUGUUCUAACAGCAAAAUGACAGAUCCAGCCAGCGAAAAUAAAUGGUGGGGAAAGAUUUGGAGUUAAUUACAGUCAUUUACAGAAGGCACGUUUCACAGAAGACUCUGUCUCUGCUGCGUUUACUCUUGAUGUAGUAGACAUCAGGCUCGCUGGCAGUUCUGUGGGCCUGGAGAGCUGCUCCCUUCUGCAUGGAAAUGGGAUGGUUUUUCCACUCCGAAGUCAACUGCAGCUCAGUGUGACAGGAUUACUUCCUGUCAGAGACUUUUCUGAUGACCUAAACCUUCGCUGGUUUCUAACAGUGACUAUGCAGACAGCUGCCCUGUGUCUUCCCUGAGUUCAGAGAGCCCUGGAGAAUAGGGUCUGCCUGGAAUGGUGUCCUGGCCAUUCUUCCUUGAGGUCAGGAGCUGCUCCAUAUUGAAAAUAUCUUUGAGUAGUGGAGCUGCCCAGGAAGGAGUCUAGAAUCAAUGUGAAAAGGGCAUAUCCUUGUACGCAGCAACUCCACUCCUGGGGGUGGUCAUCUCAAGGAGUCAGCACACAAGUUGUGGAAGGACAAUUGCACACAACACCCAUUGCCAAGUAAUCUAGAAUUCUAUAACUGGGGAGAACAUAUAUCUAUAUGGGAAAAGUUAAUUAUGGUUCAUGUGAAAUGCUAUGCAGUCUCUAAAAUGAUGGAGCAAACAGAUAGUAUUGUCCUUCGCACUAAAUUUGUGUUCCCAACUAAUAACGGGGUGUCCCAGAGGUCGUUGUACCUACAUACAUGGGGAAAGAGGGAAGUUGUAGCUAAAUGUAUCUUUAUUUACGAAAUAUUUAUUACAAAGUAUUUACAGAAUAUUUUUCUAUAUGUUAUAUAAAUAUUUAAAAAUACAUGUAAAAUAAAAUAUGAGCUUAUUAAUUUUCCUGUGUUUGGUGACCUUUGGGACACCCUGUAUAGUGAAAAGGAAACCAAGUUAUAGAUCUGCUUAUAUAGUAUAAAACUGUCAAUCUGAAGUUCCCUAUGUGUGUGUGUCUAUAUCUACAGAGUGUUUCUGUAUAUACAUCUUUAUAAUGUAGCAUGUGUGUACACAAACACAAAGUUACCUGCUCCCCUGUCCGCAGAAAUAUUUUCUGCACUUAGCUUUCAGGACACUGCACUCUUUCCAGCCUUCCUUGCUCCAUGCUCCACCUCCUGAGGGCUCAGGGCUUAGGCCCUGGCCCAGACGUCUAUUCUCUCUGGCUUGCUUCCUUGGAGGUCUCAGCCAGCCUCAUGGGUCAUACCAUCUUUGUGCUGUCACCCUCCCCAUCUCACAUCCAGAUGAGGCCUCUCCCCUGAGCUGCAGGCCCCUGUAUCCUACUUCUGCUGGUAUCUCCACUCGGGGGUCUGAUAGAUCCAACAGGCCCAGUGCCAGGCUCCAGUCACCCCUGACCCCAGACUUGCUCCUGGAUUUUUCCCUGUUUCAGGAAAAGGCAAUUCCAUUUUCUGUUUGCUCAGGCAUCAAUCCAUCAACUCCUUUUUUUCUUUCAUACCUCACCACCAGUCUGUCUACAGAUCAUCUUGGCCCUACUUUAAAAAUAUUUCUACAAUCUAGCCAUGCAUGAUGGCACAUGCUAGGUAUUUGAGAGGCUGAGGUGAGAAAAUCACUUGAGCCCAGGAGUUUGAGUCCAGCUUGGGCAACAUAGCCAGACUCCCAUCUCUAAUACAAAAUUAAAAUUAGAAAACAUUUCUAGGCUCAGCGCCCAUAGCACAGUGGUUAUGGCACCAGCCACGUUACACCGAGGGUGGUGGGUUUGAACCUGGCCUGGGCCAGCUAAACAGUAAUGAUAACUGCAACAAAAAAAAUAGCCAGGGGUUGUGGCGGGCACCUGUAGUCCCAGCUACUUGGGAGGCUGAGACAAGAGAAUUACUUAAGCCCGAGAAUUUGAGGGUGCUGUGAGCUGUGAUACCACAGCACUCUACCGAAGGCAACAUAGUGAGACUCUGUCUCAAAGUAACAACAAAAAACAUUUCUAAGAAGAAUCUAACUCUUCUCCCUCCCCCGCCUCCCACCCCCACUCGGAGUAUCACAGUCACCUCCUGACAAUCUUCCCUGCUUCUGUCUAGCCCCUCGUGGAACGUUGUCUGUGUGGCAGCCACAGCCAUCCAGUUGUCUCCCAUGCUCGGGGGUGGGGCCAGGCAGGGUGAGCAGGGCAGCGCUCUGCCCUCCUGCCGCGCCCUGCUCCUCACCUCCCUCCCUGGGGGCCUGUGCACCUACAUGUUCUUUUCACAUAACCAUGUGAUGUUCCUUCCUCUCCCCUUUCUUUCGGGUCUUUAAUGUCACCUCUCAGUGAGGCUGGCCCUCAUUCCUCCAGCUGAUUGUAACCCAGCUCUUCUCCCUCUUCCCAGAACCCCCUUCCCGCCUAAUUUCCCUCCACAGUACUCGUUCCUGGUAACACACUCCAUAGGUUUCUUACUUGCCCUAUUUAUUUUCUGUCUCCCCCAUAGAAAAGAAUACUCCGUAAGGGCAGAAUUUUGUUUCUUUCUGUGUCCCCGGCCCCUAACUGUGCCUGGCACAUUUUUCAAGCAGUAUCCCUGCUGUGCGUGUGUCUGGCUGCCUUCCAGCUGCUGGGCUCUGCCUCCUUCCUGGGCCUUUCUUUGACACCUUAGAAAGCUGUGCCGGCUGGAAGCACGCAGUAUUCACCCUGGGAGCAGCCUGAGCCAGUGGCACCUGGGGUGUGAAUACUUAGCUCUCUGCCCUUGCCAGUGUGACACUGCUAAGGCACGGGGUCUACCCUUCUCCAGAGUUUCUCUGUGAGAUGAAGAGCCGUCCUCCCAGAGUCGCAGCUAACUUGGCAAUGGCCAGCCUGGCCCUCCCUGAGGUACCCGCCUUGCUCCCCGUUACUGUUUGCUGCACCUUCUCAUGCGUCUCUCGUUUUCCAGUCUUUGUCUCGGGGUCAGCUUCUGGGUGAACACAAGUUAACACCAUUGUUGAGGGCGGUGCCUGUGGCUCAAAGGAAUAGGGCGCCGGUCCCAUAUGCCGGAGGUGGCAGGUUCAAACCCAGCCCCAGCCAAAAAAUGCACUUUAAAAAAAAAAUAAAUUAACACCGUUGUCACAAAUAUGCUUGGGAAAUGCUGUAUGAAUAAUGAUACACAUAAAACAGAUUGCUAGAAAUGCUCACCAAAGUAACACACCUCUUGCCUCUGGAGGGUAAGAUCUCAAGUGCUUUUUAAACUACAUGCCUAGACGUUGGUUUUUUAUAAUUAGUAAGUAUCAUUUCUAUAAAAUUUGUAAAGCUGUUUGUCACGGCCCACCCCAUACUCACAUAACCUGAAUGGUAAGGAAACCAGGAAUAAGGCAGGCCUCUUCUGCAGUAAUACCGGGACUCUGAGAUGACAGAGGAGCACUUGGGGAACUCGGGGGUAACCACAGCUGGGUCACUGCUUGUUACUGAAGACCAGCCAGCAGGUGGUCCUGAAAGGGAGGAAACAGCAAAUGUUCUCCAGCUCUUUCGGCGUACACAUGUUUUGGGAGGUCUGAACCCCAUGUACAGUUUAUGUAGGCAAGGUGACAAGUAGUGCUACUGUCCGGUCAGCGCUUUGUUGGAAUAUCUGUGAUUGUCCCCAUCUGGUCAGCUCCCAGUGCUGCUCAUCCCCGGGAGACACUGCUUGCUCAUUAUGUUCCCGUCUGAUGACGUGCCAGGACACUGACCGGGAGAAAGACGAGUGGAAAGAAGUCUGCUCAAGGAUGAGCAACCCAAGACUUGGUGCCAAGGACUGAAACCAAGCUAACUGGCACAUUGGAAGGACACGAGGCUUGCUGGAGAUGCUGGCAGCAGGCCCUGGGGAAAGCAGGCCCGUCCUGAAGGGAAGUGGUUCCUAUCUGCAUGUUGCUCUCCUGGGGGAGGAGGCAGGCUCUAAAUCCAUGGAACGUGCUGACCAAUAGGGCAAAGUGACCUGUGCACACAGCGCUGUUGGUGUCAGGAUUCAGAGUCAAGAAGCGCGUUCUCUCAGGGCUCUAAACUAUGAACCUGUCACAGAAUAUCUUCAAAUUUGGCCUCCCAGACUGCUGGGGAUUACAGACUUGACCCACCACACCUGGCCGUGUGGCUGCACUCCAGCUGGGCCAACACAGAAGAGGAAGAGGAGGAGGAGAAAACAAAAAUUCAUGACAGGCUGACUCCUGCUCAUCUGACCGGCUGCAGCUUCAGUAUGUACUGAGAGGCUUUUCUGCCCUCGGACAAGGAUGUGGGGGUUUUAUUCUAUGUUCCCGAGUCUCUACAUCUUUCUUCGGGAGCACUAAUCAUCAGACCUGGGUAAAAGCAGCUAAACACCAGCUCCCCUCACCAGGAGCUUCUCAGGCUUUGUUAGAGCUUCCAGAAUGCUUUGCUAUUCACAGAGGAAGAGCAGCUGAGUGCCAUGAAGAAUCAUUUCAUCAUGAACCCACAGGCUGUCUGGAUUCAUCAUCAGAGAGGGCUUGGAGGUGGGCUGGCACCCUCGCAAGUUCAGGAGCUCAGGGAUGACAGCCUGUUCCAGGUCCAUUUCCUGCUCCUUUGGAGAACAAGUCUUGCUGGGUAAUUGCCUUGUCUCCCCCGUUUUCCCAUUAAGUGAGCCUCACUGCCGGAUCACCUUCCCCCAGGACUGCUGCUCCAACAGCCACAAUGCCUCUGUCACCUUCUCUGCUAGAGAAUCCCUGUGUCUGGUGUCAGGAUCGCUGACAGCCUGGAUCCCCUACACCCUGUCUUUUUUUUUCCUUCUCAUGUGCCAACCUUUGGUGUCCUGGUGCCCUUCACUAAGAAGGCCGCAGAAAUAGUGGGGUGCUCUGUACCAAGCAAAUGUGUGAAUAAAGUCUUAGGUUG